UUGUAGAAACGAAUAUAUCAAUAUUUACAUUGACUUUUAAGUUUAUAGAUAUUUUUAAUAUCUUAUUCAUUUCCAACAAAAAUUUGGAAAAUAUAUUUUCUACAUCAUGAUAGAAUAGAAUUUUCUAAAAAUGAAAAGAAAUAUGUCUAUAUUAACGACGUUGCUAUCUAUUCGUAUAAGUUUUAAAAUAGCAUACUCCUUCCCUUUCCUUGAGACUGAUACUGAUUAUUACGACGUGUCUUCCAUUCAUAAAUAGGGAAGCACUUGUCGUAUGAGCGGCCAUUUUGACUACGCAAUCAAUAAAACUUCUUUUAUUUUGAUAUUUAAAAAUGCAAACUUUCAUAUGAAUGUUCGAAAAUGAAUAAAUAAUAAAAUUAAAUUAAAAUAUUCGAAGUAUAUAGAAAUAUUUUUGCUAAAUAAAAAACAUUUGAAUGCAUAUAGUUUUUCAAUCGAUUAAUGUCGUUUCAGUACGCAGUGCACAGCUGAUCAGUGGUCCCAACGGACGGUCGCCGCUUGUUCGUGUUUUAAAAUCUUCGAAAACGACUGAAAAGUUACUAUUAUCCGCGUGUCUGUACAGUGACAAUUAAAAUUUCACUUUUAAAUACGUGAAUAAAAUUGCGGCAUUUACAAAGUGUUUUUAUCAAGUGUUCGAAGUGAACGAUUACUGGUUUCUCGUUCGUUGGACAUUUCCAAUGGUUGCCGUCCGGGCGGAAACGAUUCGUUUGGCAGUGUGACAUUUGUGCAGAGAUAUUGGAACAAUUACGAACAAUCGGAAAACGGGAGUAAAGGAUAUACAAAAAGAAACAUCGAAAAAUUAUUCCAAAUGCGUGAAAAUACUCGUGGAAUUUGCUUUUCCCUGCAUUGCCAGGAGUAGACGAAAACAGCCACGCUGUGUCUCCUGGGUAUUUCAUGACACAAAUAUCUUCCCGGCAUGUUGGAAUUCCGCUUUUCCUUUUUCGCCUGUCCCGACGAACGACGUUCUCGUUCCCCUCUUAAAAUCCCCUCUGUGUCACUGAUAGAAACAUCCUGCGUGUCUGGUGCAAUUAAAAGAUGCUUCUCCUUUGCUCUCAGGCCAAGGGAAAAAUAUAUUCGUUCCGCUCCCGAUCGAAACAGCAGCGCGAGAGCUGUCCAUCGUCUCGAAUCCCGCUUUGUAAGAAUAAACGUAUAAUGUCAUCGUUGGUCGUUGUCGAGGGAAAAGUCACAUGUAUCGCAUGUAUUUUCCGUUGAUGAGGAUUCCGUUUGGCAAAGCGAGUUCGGUAGAGAUUUGCACAAUCCUCGACGGGGUCGGAACGAAUUCGAUUCACUGUUGCAUUUCCGCAUCGAGUACCUGCCCACUCGCGUUUAUUUGCAUUUUCGUCAUUUGCGUGUCGAACGACCGACUGUCUGGCAGACGUUGCCGGUACAACCAGCAAAAACGCGUGACAGAUACAAAGUGACGCGAAUGUAACUUUGUAACUUUAACUUUAUACAAAUACUUAGAACAAAAAUACAUAUUUUAUAUUCGUAUAAGAAUGGUGAAGGAACUAGUAGAAGAAUGGUAAAAAAUCUUGCGAUUCAUAAGGAUUCGUAACGGAUAUUUUUCGAUAAGAACUUUGAAUGCGUUUUUUUUUUUUUAAACACGUGCGUUUCGUUUGCCCGAUUCGGAACACGAUUAAGAAAGCCGCGGUUAGAAAGUAGCGGUGUUUAAAAGAAGAUACUCCGAUUAGGGCGAACGCUCUCUAAUCGGAGGCUUGAAUGUACGGCCGCGUGCCAAUAAACAGUUUUCUCUCUGAUUGAUGCUUCACUCACCUGACAUGCCGGCCUGCCAGGUGCUAGGCAACGGAAGAAAGAGAGUCGAAUUAUUAAUUCUACCUAGGACUUUAUUCUCUCACGUGGCUGGGUGCCAAGUGCGAAUUGCACUCGCAAAGCUUCUAACCUCUUAGUUUCUUCCGAUCGAGCGAACAACCCUCUCUCUACUCGCUUUUUCUGGAUUUUCGGCACAGCCUUAACGCAUCCACAAUCGAAAAUGCGUAGGAGUAGCUGCGAGUCGGACGGUAGGCCUUGCCAGGAGGAUGGGGGCCCACGAUGGGGGAGUGCCAUUGCUCUAACAUCGCUAUCAUGCAGCUGUUCCAUGAGCUGAAGCAGCAGUUCCCUGCGCUCCCUGAUCACGUCGUUUCCCAGUGCAUCGCCCAGAACAGCCACGAUCGGGAGACAUGCGCGAGAAGUCUUCGCGCCACCCAAGAGUCACGACAGUCUCCGGGUGCAUUCCCACCGGCGGUACUUUGCGGCAUCCUCCAGCAGCAACAGCAUCAUCAACAACGAGCGAACCACGUGGCUGCGCAGCAGCAACGUUGCUGUUCGAUGAAUCAAGCGCAGCGCGGUUGCGGCACGAGCAACCCCCCCACCACCACCACCAACAACACGCGGCCGCACAGGCCGGCAUCACUGGACAUCGGUAUGGCGCGGCGUUGCCCUGUCGCCUGUACACGAGCAGCUGCCGUAUCAGCCUCCUCGCCGGUCGCGGCUAACUCAUCCACCACCCCUUCCUCGGCGCCUGCCGUCUGUACGACACGCGGUUUCUUCGACGAUUGCACAGGAGCCAGCGACUCGAAUUGCCUUAACAAAGUCCAGAACGCGGGAAACGAGCCAGCCGGAUUCGAGCUGAACGUGAACGUUGCCUGUAGCCCUGCUGGCAAUCGCGACUUUCGAACGGUGCCUACGAUUGGUGGUGCCUGUAAACGAAGUGAUCUGCUCCUCGAUCCACGGACUUAUUAUGCCGAGCCAUUACUGAACGUGGUAAACACGGGGCCGCAGAUCGAUCACACGCGAAGCUACACCUCGGUUAGUCUGACGCUGAGGCCCCCAUCCUCGGAACCUCAACCACCGAUCGACAUCAGAUCACAGGGCUCGAGUCUCACUUACUCGAGCUCUUCUCUAGAUCCUCGGGGCUUUCAAAGUCGUCUUCAGAUCAGCAUUGGGGCGGGAGCCGUUGGCACUGUGGCGGCUGCGAGAAUCAGGCCUCCGAUGGGCCCCAAUAGGCCCAACAGUCUGAUACCGCCGGCGCAGACCGGUCCUCAAAGACCACCAGUUGCAGGUCUUCCAGCAGGGCCACCUAGUCAGUUGCCGAGGCCUACGACGACAAUGAGCGCCCCAACUACACCUUCCGUACCAUCGACAACGAACAUCGUCCCUUCCAUUAGCCUUCCAACGACUCCGUCAGGACCGACGACGACCUCGCCGCCCUCCAGUCCCAUUGGUGAGCGCGUAUCGGCCAAUUCCGAUCAAAAUCGAUCGCCGUUGAAUCAAGUGGCGGAGCAUCAAAAGAAAUUGGUCGCAGAGCAGUUAGAAAGAAAAGAAAGACUCGCCAGGGAAUUGAGAGCCGAGAAAGGACGACUCGAAGCGAUGAAGAAAGAAUUACAAUCUCUCACGAGGCCUCUUGAUUCUUCUAUGCCUCCUCAAGAAUUAAAAAAAAAAUUACGAAGCGAGAUCUAUCAGUUACAAGUUGAAUGCGAUAGACUCGCGGAUGAAGUAGAUCAAUGGUCAGAUCCAAGAGUACCUUUGGGUGAAACGAAUGAAAAGUUUUAUCAGCAUAUUUAUACUGGUCAACCUUUACCAUCGAGUUCUGUCAGUUCCAAUCCACCGCCUUUGCCAAGUCAACCACCCGCCUGGCAACCGGAACUACUAAGUGAUAACAAUACUGACAGAGAAGAACGAGACGGACCUUCUUGGGUCUGUAGAAUGUGCACGUUCGAUAAUCAUCCAUUGAUGAAUAAAUGCGAACAAUGCGAUAUGCCACGGUUGAUGGAUCAUGGAAACACAGGUACGACUUCUGGAAAAUCGAUAGAGGACCUUACAACCUCGUUACCGCCGCCUCCACCGCCUUUGGAAUAGUAAACUCCAAUGUCUUAACCGCAUGUUUUUCUUUUUUUGACAUUUGUGAGUUAACAGAUAACUCACAGAAUAAUAUUUCACAAACAAUUAAUUAAUAUAUGAAAAAUAUAUGAUCUCUAUACUUCUUAUAGUGUGAUGGAGCAAUACAACCAAAGGUGAUAUUACUUUUCUAUUGUAAAAUUGCUCGUUGAAGGAAUUAUGUAAUGACAACGUAAUGAUGAACAUACGGCAUAAAUAAAAUAGAUUUAUUAUGUACUUAAGUGCACGAAUGUGUGCUAUUUUCUACUUUUAUGAUUUUUCUUAUUUUUUUAAUGAAUUUAUUUUUAACAUAAAGGCAUGAUUAAUCUACCAUAUAUUUUGCAGUGUUAUUUUUUCUAAUUAUUAAUAAUUUAAUAUUAUUUAAUAAUUGACGAGUUAAUAAUCACAAAUUGGCGAGACUCAAGAUAUCCAUAUACGAGUUACACAUCAUCAUAACUUUUCCCCAAGUCGGACAGUGCAUAGUUGGGUGGUAUAACGUAAAUUACAUUGGAAACAUAAAAACUGUAAAUACAAUCACUAUUUAAAUUAAAUAAAAAGUUGCAGCCAACCUAU